CGAGCGGAUGAAGGGAGCUUGCUCCUGGAUUCAGCGGCGGACGGGUGAGUAAUGCUUAGGAAUCUGCCUAUUAGUGGGGGACAACAUUUCGAAAGGGAUGCUAAUACCGCAUACGCCCUACGGGGGAAAGCAGGGGAUCUUCGGACCUUGCGCUAAUAGAUGAGCCUAAGUCAGAUUAGCUAGUUGGUGGGGUAAAGGCCUACCAAGGCGACGAUCUGUAGCGGGUCUGAGAGGAUGAUCCGCCACACUGGGACUGAGACACGGCCCAGACUCCUACGGGAGGCAGCAGUGGGGAAUAUUGGACAAUGGGGGGAACCCUGAUCCAGCCAUGCCGCGUGUGUGAAGAAGGCCUUUUGGUUGUAAAGCACUUUAAGCGAGGAGGAGGCUCUUCUAGUUAAUACCUAGGAUGAGUGGACGUUACUCGCAGAAUAAGCACCGGCUAACUCUGUGCCAGCAGCCGCGGUAAUACAGAGGGUGCGAGCGUUAAUCGGAUUUACUGGGCGUAAAGCGUACGUAGGCGGCUUUUUAAGUCGGAUGUGAAAUCCCUGAGCUUAACUUAGGAAUUGCAUUCGAUACUGGGAAGCUAGAGUAUGGGAGAGGAUGGUAGAAUUCCAGGUGUAGCGGUGAAAUGCGUAGAGAUCUGGAGGAAUACCGAUGGCGAAGGCAGCCAUCUGGCCUAAUACUGACGCUGAGGUACGAAAGCAUGGGGAGCAAACAGGAUUAGAUACCCUGGUAGUCCAUGCCGUAAACGAUGUCUACUAGCCGUUGGGGCCUUUGAGCUUUAGUGGCGCAGCUAACGCGAUAAGUAGACCGCCUGGGGAGUACGGUCGCAAGACUAAAACUCAAAUGAAUUGACGGGGGCCCGCACAAGCGGUGGAGCAUGUGGUUUAAUUCGAUGCAACGCGAAGAACCUUACCUGGUCUUGACAUAGUAAGAACUUUCCAGAGAUGGAUUGGUGCCUUCGGGGGACUUACAUACAGGUGUCUGAGAGGCUGUGUGUUACUCGUGUCGUGAGAUGUUGGGUUAAGUCCCGCAACGAGCGCAACCCUUUUCCUUAUUUGCCAGCGGUUCGGCCGGGAACUUUAAGGAUACUGCCAGUGACAAACUGGAGGAAGGCGGGGACGACGUCAAGUCAUCAUGGCCCUUACGACCAGGGCUACACACGUGCUACAAUGGUCGGUACAAAGGGUUGCUACCUCGCGAGAGGAUGCUAAUCUCAAAAAGCCGAUCGUAGUCCGGAUUGGAGUCUGCAACUCGACUCCAUGAAGUCGGAAUCGCUAGUAAUCGCGGAUCAGAAUGCCGCGGUGAAUACGUUCCCGGGCCUUGUACACACCGCCCGUCACACCAUGGGAGUUUGUUGCACCAGAAGUAGGUAGUCUAACCGUAAGGA
rnacentral:rRNA from 1 species